rnacentral:rRNA from 1 species
GGAUUAGAUACCCUGGUAGUCCACGCCCUAAACGAUGAAUACUAGAUGUCGGACUUAUGUUCGGUGUCGCAGCUAACGCAUUAAGUAUUCCGCCUGAGGAUUACGGUCGCAAGAUUAAAACUUAAAGGAAUUGACGGGGGCCCGCACAAGCGGUGGAGCAUGUGGUUUAAUUCGAAGAUACGCGAAGAACCUUACCAGCUCUUGACAUGGGGAUUUUGGAUAACAGAGAUGAUAUCCUUCGGUUCGGCCGGGUCCUACACAGGUGCUGCAUGGCUGUCGUCAGCUCGUGCCG